GUGGAUGCAGUUUGAAGAUGAUAUUGUGUGAUAGAGUUUUGAGUUGAUGGAGGUUGAUGGUGGUGAUGAAGGUUGAAGUUAUGCAGGAGUUGUAUUGUUUGUUGUUGUCACGGUGGGAAGAAAAAAAAUGGUGGUUCGGUUUGGUUCGAACCGCGGCGGACGGGGGGAUUAGAUACGGAGGUGAAAGCGUUGUAGGGAGAAAAGGAAAAGUGGUUUUUUCUUUGAUGUGAAGAGAGA
rnacentral:lncRNA from 1 species